AGGUAGCUGUCUGGCUCGUAUUUCCGCAGGUCUACCGAGCCAACAUUUCUUUAUAGGGAGCUGUCCCUGUCUGAAUCGAGGUUCAGUUAUUACGGCACCCACUUUGUCCAAGCGGUUCGAUUAGAAUGUAAUCCAUACGGUCAGAUGGCGCCUUC
rnacentral:other from 1 species